rnacentral:rRNA from 1 species
AGCGAACGCUGGCGGCAGGCCUAACACAUGCAAGUCGAACGAACCCUUCGAGGUUAGUGGCGGACGGGUGAGUAACACGUGGGAACGUGCCUUUAGGUUCGGAAUAACUCAGGGAAACUUGUGCUAAUACCGAAUGUGCCCUACGGGGGAAAGAUUUAUCGCCUUUAGAGCGGCCCGCGUCUGAUUAGCUAGUUGGUGAGGUAAUGGCUCACCAAGGCUACGAUCAGUAGCUGGUCUGAGAGGAUGACCAGCCACAUUGGGACUGAGACACGGCCCAAACUCCUACGGGAGGCAGCAGUGGGGAAUCUUGCGCAAUGGGCGAAAGCCUGACGCAGCCAUGCCGCGUGGAUGAUGAAGGUCUUAGGAUUGUAAAAUCCUUUCACCGGUGAAGAUAAUGACUGUAGCCGGAGAAGAAGCCCCGGCUAACUACGUGCCAGCCGCCGCGGUAAGAC